rnacentral:rRNA from 1 species
GCUUGUCUCAAAGAUUAAGCCAUGCAUGUCUAAGUAUAAAUGUUAUACAGUGAAACUGCGAAUGGCUCAUUAAAUCAGUUAUAAUUUAUUUGAUAAUACCUUACUACUUGGAUAACCGUGGUAAUUCUAGAGCUAAUACAUGCUAAAAAACCCGACUUCUGGAAGGGUUGUAUUUAUUAGAUGGAAACCAAUGCGGGGCAACCCGGAAUCUGGUGAAUCAUAAUAACUUUCGGAUCGAUCUUCGGAUCGAUGCAUCAUUCAAGUUUCUGCCCUAUCAGCUUUGGAUGGUAGGGUAUUGGCCUACCAUGGCUUUAACGGGUAACGGAGAAUUAGGGUUCGAUUCCGGAGAGGGAGCCUGAGAAACGGCUACCACAUCCAAGGAAGGCAGCAGG